rnacentral:rRNA from 1 species
UACAGGGGGCUCGAGCGUUAGUCGGAAUCACUGGGCUUAAAGGGUGCAUAGGUGGCUCGCCAAGUGCUUUGUGAAAUCCCACAGCUCAACUGUGGAACAGCAGGGCAAACUGGCGGGCUUGAGGCAGGUAGGGGCCGGAAGAACAGUUGGUGGAGCGGUGAAAUGCGUAGAUAUCAACUGGAAUGCCGAUGGGGAAGCCGUCCGGCUGGGCCUGUCCUGACACUGAGGCACGAAAGCGUGGGGAGCAAGCAGG